GUGACUGUUCCUGGUAUUGAUUGCGUUUGUUAGUUGUACAAUGCAACCGUGGACCAGUCACACACAUUAAAACAAGUGGUUCCUGCCGACAGGGUCUGUAUAGUUAUCAGAUUUUCUGUGCGAUGGCUCCAUACAUG
ensembl:snoRNA SCARNA14 small Cajal body-specific RNA 14